CUCAUUCCAAUAGGAACCGUCUUCUUUGAAGAACCCAUUCAUAUAUAACUUAUUUGCUCUCUUCCUGAAUAUCUGAGUAUGCAUGAAAUGUUUGCAACUAAGCGUUCAACAAACAACAAUUAAACAUUCAAAACAAGUUUCAAGAAAAUCGUAUCAAUAAAUGUUUGAUUUUGACAGUUAAUGAAAAUGAUACCCAAUGCAAAAAGCCAGCA
rnacentral:lncRNA from 1 species